CGCGCAGGCGGUCUUUUAAGUCAGAUGUGAAAGCCCGGGGCUUAACCCCGGAAGUGCAUUUGAAACUAAAAGACUUGAGUAUGGGAGAGGGAAGUGGAAUUCCUGGUGUAGCGGUGAAAUGCGUAGAUAUCAGGAGGAACACCGGUGGCGAAGGCGACUUCCUGGACCAAUACUGACGCUGAGGCGCGAAGGCGUGGGGAGCAAACAGGAUUAGAUACCCUGGUAGUCC
rnacentral:rRNA from 1 species